rnacentral:rRNA from 1 species
AGCUCCAAUGGCGUAUAUUAAAGUUGUUGCGGUUAAAAAGCUCGUAGUUGGAAUUCUGCCAAGGAACACUGGUCCGCCCUCCGGGUGAGCAUCUGGUUCGUCCUCGGCAUCUUCUUGGAGAAUGUAGUUGCACUUGGCUGUGUGGUGCGGCAUCCAAGACUUGUACUUUGAGGAAAUUAGAGUGUUUCGAGCAUAGGGCCUUUGUUCUAUUUUGUUGGUUUCUAGAGCAGAGGUGAUGGUUAAUAGGGAUAAUUGGGGGUGUUCGUACUUAACUGUCAGAGGUGAAAUUCUUGGAUUUGUUAAAGGUGUACAACUGCGAAAGCAUUCGCCAAGGAUGUUCUCA